UAAAAAAUAAAUGUUUCAUUUUGAGAGAGAUAUACUGCUUCCCAUAUGCAUUGAAAGAAGAAAGUAUUUCAGUUCAGGACUCAGGUGGAAAGUGUAAAGAUCAGGUUUCAUAACGUGGUACCAGCAAGAAUGAAAGAAGUCAUUCCUUAUGUAUUAGUAGAAAAGGGUUACAGGCCUUUGACUAUAAAUGAUUUUUCAUUACAUUUAAGGCUGCACUUAAGUCUAUUUUCAUCUGACCAACCUAAUUAGGAGAAAGUAGACCAAUGACUGUAAAGGCAAUGCUAGAUUUGUUAAGUGAAAUUCUCUUACUAUUUCUGAACUACAACAUCUUAUUGAAAUAUUUCAUUGUCUAGUGCCUUAUAAUUAAAAACUUCCAUCAGAUAAUUCAUUUCACAUUCUUCUAAGAGCUUGACAAAAUGGUUUCUUUCCCUCUGACACAAUUCAGAGAUGAGUACCACUAAACCCUGGAUACAUGAAAAAGUUAUUUUGUUCUUUCAUAAAUCUAAAGUUGUCACACUAUUUUCUAGCUUGGGAAUAUAAUUUUGCACAGAAUUUCUUUCCUCUCUUUCCUUCUAAUUUACCUCUUCAAUAUAUAGCUAUCUCCAAAAUUUUAUUUUACUCAUGUUCAUUUUUUGUUAUUUUCAAUUGUUUUACUUAAAUGUUAUAGAAGACAAAGCCUUCCUUACUUUAAUUAUAUUAUCAUUCUGGUUAUUAUUGUUGUAGGCCACAUUAAUUUGUGUAGGUUAUUGGCCAGAGAAGUGGGUAAAUAGUGAAACACAAGACUUGUCACAAGGUAGGAAUUAGAUAUUUGUAAAAUUAAUCCAUUACUUGAUUUCACCUAGUAUUUUUAUAGAUACACCAAGUUUACAUUUCCUGAGACAAGGUCUGUCAAAUAUAUGUUCUGUUUAUGGAGAAGAAUUAAUAGUGAAGAAAUUAGGAUUGUGGAAUAUGGAGUCAGACUAUUUGUCAUUCUAAUUUCUUCUCUUAACAGCUGUAUGAAAUUGAACAACUCACUUCAUUUUGCCUCAAAAUCCUCAAAAGUGAGAAUGAUGAUAAUAACAGGACUUUUGUCCAUAGGCACACUGUGAUGUUAAAAUAAAGCCAACAAUUCUCAGUGAAAUGGAAUAGGAUAUGAACUUUCCCAUCAUCUACAAAUCAAGAUAGUGACUGUCUACAAAUCAAGACCAAAGAAAUGCUUCUAAAAAGCUUUUGAGGCAAUAAAAGCUCUUCAUAUUGACA